CUGAGGGGGCUCAGCUGAGAAAGCCAACAGCUUCACUGCCACUGCCAGGCUGGACUCACUAGAUCCAGGCUGCUGUCAGUUAAAGAGGCAAUCCCAUUAGUGGGAGAACACAGGCCUAGGGCCCUACUAGCCUGAGGAUAAGGUCAUGGUGGGUCAAGCAAGAGACCAGAUCAGCCAGGAGUUCACAGGGAGUUCUGGGAGGUGAGACAGCUCUCCAUGGAUAUCCCAGGCUAACCAGAGAUUCUGCACACACAUCAGAGAUGCCAGAGUGGAUUCACAUGCCUCUCCCCCAACAUCCCUUGCUGGCAUUGGCACACACAAAGAUGUGAGGGGGGCCAGCUGAAAGUAAAAGGCAAGGCAGACACAAUAAUUGCCUGAAAUGUGAAUGUCCUCCCUGGCCCUACAUGAAUCCACCAGCAGAGAGCAAAAGCUCUACUGACUGUGUCAACAUCUGAUUAGUCUUUGGCUGAACACAAAAUUAUGUCGCAACAAGGGUAACCACUGGGAAGCUAGGCUUAAAAGUAACAACAACAACAAAAAGAGACAAAAAACAAGUUGAACAAGAGACAUCAGCAGCCAAGCAAUAUGGGAGAGACAGCCUUCACAGACUGACUCUGGGAAAGUUACUAAACAAACAACAGAAAUGACAAUUCUUGAGCAGACAAGAAUCAGAAUCCAGAGUUGCUACAAACUAUUGCCUGAAAUGUAAGAAGGUCUACAAAAAACUUGGAGACAUGAAAAUAAACAAGAGAGCAUGACCCAUACUCAGGAGGGAAAAAAGCAGUCAAUAGAAACUAUCCCUAGAAUUCCCAAAUGUUGGAAUUUACAGGACAAGACUUCAGACACACACACACACAUCGGAAGAACUGAAGGAAAUCAUGUUCAAAGAAUUAAAGUAUGACAAUAACUCAACAAAUAGAGAAUCUCAACAAGAGAUAGAAAUUGCAAAAAAGAGCCAAAUGGAAACUGGAUUGGUAAGUACAAUAAAUGGAAAGAAAAAUCUACUAGAGGGACUCAACAGCAAAUGUGAACUGGCAUAAGAAAAAACUGGGACAACUGAGAAUAGCUCAAAGGAAAUUAACCAACCUGAGGAACAAAGAAAUAAGAUCAAAGAAAAAUAAACAGAACCUCCGAGACCUGUGAAACAACAUCUAGCUUACCAACAUAUAUGUAAGGGGAGAAGAGAAAAGGGUGGAAAAAAAUAUGUGAAGAAACAAUGGCCUAAAAUGUCCCCAAUUUGAUAAAAAAGACAAACUCACUGAUCUCCAUAUCUAAGAACUCCAAACAGGAUAAACACAAUGAGAUCCAAAUCUAAACUCAGUGCUCAAGCUGCAGAAAGCCAAAAACAAAGAGGAAAAACUUGAAAACGGCACGCAAAAACCAACCCAUCAUGCAGAGAAACACCUGACUUCUCAUCAGAAACAAUUGAGGACCAAGGGCAAUGGGAUAUGCAGAGUGCUGGGAGGAAGGGGAGCUACCAGCCAAGAAUUCUACAACCAGAAAACUCUCUUCAAAACUGAACGAGAAAAAAAAGACACCCCAUGACCUUUUGAAAAGAUAAAUUUAUUGACAGAAGAUAUGCCUUACAAAAAUGCUACAUGAAUGAGUUCCUUUGUGGCUCAGUUAGUGACCCGGCAUUGUCACUGCUGUGGCUCGGGUUGCUGCUGUGGCACAGGUUCAGUCUCUGGCCCGGGAACUUCUACACGCUGUGUGCACAGCCAAAAAAAAGAAAAAAAAAAAUGCUAUAUGAAGUCCCUUAGGUUGAAUGGAAAUGUCAGACAACAACUCAAAUCCACAGGAAGAAAUGAAGACCACAGGAAAUGGUAAAUAUAAGACCAUUCAUUUUUUUCUCUCAUUUCGUCUCUUAAAUUCUUUAAAGAACGUGAGGUGGUAUUAAAGCCACAACUUAACACUACAUAGCUGUGUUUAUAACACAUAGGGAUCAAACAUAUAUGACAAUAAUUGCAAAGGGACAAACUGGAACAAAGUUUCCAUAUUUUACCAGAGUUUAGUUAGCAUUAUUCUCAGGUACACAGGGAAACAGGGAGGGAUAUAUUAUAAUCUCUAGAACAACGACUAAGAAAAUAACUCGAAAGAAUAGUGAGAACAACAAUAAAAGCAACAGAGAAAUCAAAAUUACAUAAUAAAAAACAUGUUACACAAAGAAGAGAGUCAUACACAGAAAAACAAAAGUAUACGGCACGUAGAAAAGAGCAAGGUGGUGGAUGUAAAUUCAACGAACAAUAAUAACUACAUUCAGGUGCAUGGAAUAAACACACUCCAAAGACAAACACUCCGAUUGGAUAAAAAAGCAGUUACAACAACAUGCUCUCCGUAAGAGACAUAUCUUAGGUUCCAAAAGACAAAGGUUCAAAGGAAACAGAGAGGGAGAGACAGGCUAUAUGUAUGCAACUAGCAACCCUAAGAGAGCUGGAAUCAGUGAUAAUCAUAUGAGGUAAAACAUGUGAACAACUAACUUGACCUAAAUGACGUUUAUAAAAACGCCAGCUAACUGCAAACCUGGACAUGAGGGCUUACAGCAACAGAAUUCACAGUGGCCAAAAGACAAAAAUCACCCAAAUGUGUUCACCAACUGGUGGCUGGAUAAACCAAAUGUGAUACAGUCAUACAACAGAACAGUACUUGGCCAUAGAAGGUAACAGAAGAACAGAUACACGCUACAGUGCAGAUGAGUCUCUAACCCAUCAUGCCAGCUCAAAGAAGCCAGACAUACAAGUUUCUAAACCGUAUGAACCCAUUACAGGAAAUGCCCAGAAAAGGGAACUGUAACGAGCCGGAAAGCAGACCAGGAGCUGCCUGGGGCCAGGAAUGGGAGCGAGGACUGACAAUGAACAGCUCAGGGAAAUCUGGGGGUUGGGAUGGACAUGUUCUAAAACUGAAUUGUGGUACAGGUUGCACAACUCUAUAAAAGCACCAAAUAUCACCGAACUGUACACCCACAGUGGGCGAAUUUUAUUGCAUAUAAAUUACAUCUUAAUAAAGCUGUAAAAAUAAGUCCCAUGUAGUGGUUAAACUGAGGCGAUACAAACUGCUGUCGAGAGACGGACCCAGGCACUCUUUCUAUGAAGGAGCACGCCACCAGAUACAAACCUGAUGCAAAGUCUAGCUUGUCCAACAUGAACCUGGGAAUGCUAGGCGUGUAACUCACCACUUACACCGCAUUAAUUCCAUCAAAACCAAACCCAUCGACUUAAACUGUCAACAUGUAAAAGGCCAAACAAUGCAUUUAACUGCUGGGUCACAGCUGCACAUCCGCUUUUGCCUGUUAACUGAAUAUCACCUACACGUUCACACGUCACUGUCUGCACAGCUGUCUGAACUUGCAUGGGUAAACCAUUACGGUCUUUAUCCAUCUUCAACUAUCAAUUUCCUGGGAGACGGGCAGGGCUGGUGACUCCACAGUGUGUCCUACGCAUCACAGCAGGGCCCAGAGACCUCGAGCCAGAGGCUUCUGGGUCACAGUCUGACCCCGCAGGCUCUUCCUUUCACUGCGAAAGGCAAGCGGGUCACCAGUUCCUGAUUCUCCCACCAGGUUGGAGGCGCGCCCUAGCAUCAGCAUGCAGCGGAGCAGAGGCUAGCGUCCCAAUGUGUCACGUGUGUGGGGAGUUCCAGGGCUUUCAAAGCACUUCUCCAACUUUGCAAAGGGCUGUUGUGGACUCGAUGGAGCCCACCCUUAACACACAUUAUGCAAACUUAAGCAAAAUCAAGUAAAAUGAAACCAGACCACAAAUCUGUCAUUUCUUCUACUCGCUCUCAUCCCACUGCCCCCAAAGUACAGAAGCAAAGAACGACUCGGAGAUUUAAAAAGUCUUGCAGGAAACGCUGAGCAUUCAGACACACCAGAUCUAUUUAAUCACGUUCGCAAACACCCAGGCACAAAGCACCAGGCCUCGCGUGCAGGUCCAGGCAUCACUCGGCCGCCUGGCCCGUCCCAGGUCCCGCUCCGGGCGCGGCCCUCCCUCCCCAGCGUGCAGAGCACUGGAAAUCACGGCUUCCGAUGUCUUCUCCGACUGUGAGUUAAAUACGGAGGCGCCUCGUGGGGACGGUGGUCCAUCCGACAGAGCAGCUGGCUCCCAAGGGCCCAGGCCUUUUUUGGGGAGACCCCCGAUCUUGGCAUCAGAACAUUAAAAACAAACUGAAUUUUUCUGGCAAGACCAAGUCCACCUCUAAGGCUCUCCCUUCACCCUAGAACAAGCAAAGAGACCCCCUUCCCAGCAAAUGGGAGGCAGCAGCCCCUCACAGGUACACGCACAGCUGCUCCAAGGUCCCGAGUCACCAACGGCAGUGCCACAGCACGACGGGCCAUUCUCACUCCCAAACAGAAGAGAUCUAUAAAUAAGGAAUCGACCUCUCCCCUACUUCGCAGUCAGGGCUCAGCAAACGUUCUUCUGCAAAGUGUUAGAUGGGAAACAGUCUCGGCCUUGUGGGCCGCAGGUGACUCCGCGCCUCGGCUGCUGUGGCAGGAAAGCAGAUGGACAACACGGAAAUGAAUGGGCAUGGCUCUGGUCCAGUGAAACCUUUCUAAAAACAGGUGGAAGCCUGGAGCUGACCACCGGGCUGUAGCUUGCUGACCCCUGCCUAGAAUAACAGCCCUUUAGAGCCAAAAAGGAAACGAUAGCUCAACACCACCCUGUCCCCAACUCCUGCCGACUCCCAAGCCUCGUUCUCAAUGAAGAAACUCAAUUCAAGGUAUUUGCUCAAGGUCAAUACUUUUUGCUGGUUCGUUCUUAUGCAUGAAGAUAAAAAUAUUAUGAAGAGAGAGAGAGAUUCUUUUAACCUAUCAUCCUAUUCCCUGGCUAUCAACACAUCACACCGACCUAGGUGGAGGUGAUUUUGGUUUUGUUUUUUAAAUUCAUUUUAAUUUUUUUUUUUUGUCUUUUGUCCUUUUUUAGGGCCGCACCCGCGGCAUAUGGAGGUUCCCAGGCUAGGGAUCAAAUCAGAACUA
rnacentral:lncRNA from 1 species